rnacentral:rRNA from 1 species
GAGACUCUGUGCGCGUGCAUAUCAAUAAGCGGAGGAAAAGAAACUAACAAGGAUUCCCCUAGUAACGGCGAGUGAAGCGGGAAGAGCUCAAAUUUGAAAUCUUCAAGGUUCUACCUUGACGAAUUGUAGUUUAUAGAAGUGUUUUCUGUUAGUGGAGUGACAAAAGUUCCUUGGAAUAGGACAUCAUAGAGGGUGAGAAUCCCGUAUUUGGUCAUUCCUCCUAGCGUUGUGAUACACUUUCAACGAGUCGGAUUGUUUGGGAAUGCAGUCCAAAAUGGGUGGUAAAUUUCAUCUAAAGCUAAAUAUUGGCGAGAGACCGAUAGCGAACAAGUACCGUGAGGGAAAGAUGAAAAGAACUUUGAAAAGAGAGUUAAACAGUACGUGAAAUUGUCAAAAGGGAAGCGUUUGACACCAGUGUUGUUUAGUUGAAAAUCAAUUCAAUAGUUUUUGAUUCUAAGUAGUAUUGACUUCAUCAGCUUGCUGCUUUCUUCUCAGAAAUUAUUGAAUGCACUUUUCAGUUAACAAGUCAACAUCAAUUUCUUUUGUUGUAAAAGGGUAAGAGGAAGGUGGCUUGCGCUUUCGGAUAAAGUGUUUAUAGCCUUGUACCUCUGCAAUCGGAGAGAUUGAGGUCUGCAGCGUAGAUCCUUCGGGGUUAGAUACAUUUGUGCUAAGUUAUAGCUUUUCAUAGACAACUUGUUGACUAUAUUUAGUCUUGUAGGCUUACUCGCUUAUGCUAUUUUACCUACGCUUAGGAUGUUGACAGCAGUAUAGACUGU